rnacentral:rRNA from 1 species
UGCGUAGGUGGCAAGCGUUGUCCGGAAUUAUUGGGCGUAAAGCGCGCGCAGGUGGUUUAAUAAGUCUGAUGUGAAAGCCCACGGCUCAACCGUGGAGGGUCAUUGGAAACUGGAAAACUUGAGUGCGGAAGAGGAAAGUGGAAUUCCAUGUGUAGCGGUGAAAUGCGCAGAGAUAUGGAGGAACACCGGUGGCGAAGGCGACUUUCUGGUCUGCAACUGACGCUGAUGUGCGAAAGCGUGGGGAUCAAACAGG